rnacentral:rRNA from 1 species
AGAUUGAACGCUGGCGGCAGGCCUAACACAUGCAAGUCGAGCGGCAGCACGGGUACUUGUACCUGGUGGCGAGCGGCGGACGGGUGAGUAAUGCCUAGGAAUCUGCCUGAUAGUGGGGGAUAACGCUCGGAAACGGACGCUAAUACCGCAUACGUCCUACGGGAGAAAGCAGGGGACCUUCGGGCCUUGCGCUAUCAGAUGAGCCUAGGUCGAUUAGCUAGUUGGUGGGUAAUGGCUCACCAAGGCGACGAUCCGUAACUGGUCUGAGAGGAUGAUCAGUCACACUGGAACUGAGACACGGUCCAGACUCCGUAGGGAGCAGCAGGUGGGAAUAGUGGACAAGUGGGACAAAGCCUGAUCCAGUCCAGUCGCCGCGUGUAGUAGAAG